rnacentral:lncRNA from 1 species
AUUAAUGCCAUGAAUAUUCAAUUAAGAGCCUGUGUACAGAGGCCGCUCUCAAGGAAUCCUCUCCUGUGGCCUCGGGGCAGACAUGAGUGAGGUUCUAGUUCAUGUGCUGAUGAUUAUAGGGUUGUAGAGUAGAGCACCGAUUCAAAGCCCAACCCAACCAGGUCUCACAGAGCCCUAGCCAUGGUGAGGAGAUGAACACUGACCUUGAUCAGCGUUGUGCUGAUGGUAGCUCAUCUCAAGAGAGCACCUCCCAUCCCUAACUUCUCACAUGUAUGCCUGCAGAAGCCGGAUUGGAAUUCAUGGCUGGGCACCUCUGAAGUUGAUAAGGGCUGACAUCUCAUGGACCAACCCUCAACCACUGGGAGACGGGAGCUGCUGGAUAAAUGAUUCUGUCUUCUGUCCCUUGGGCAGAUGAUGCAGAGAUAUUUUAUUCUCUUUUCAUGAUGUCCUGGUGAUGGGAUGGGGAGCUUGAUACCACACUAUAGUGUGUGUGGCAUUGAUGGCGUUGGCUUUUCCUCCUUCCCUGUUGACCCUCACUAGCACCUCACUGGCAUCCCUCGUUGACUUCCUGAAAUAAACUACCUGCACACCGUCCUUUUCUAAGGCUGCAUUUUAGGAGGGGGAAAG